rnacentral:rRNA from 1 species
UACGGAGGGGGCAAGCGUUAUUCGGAAUUAUUGGGCGUAAAGGGCGCGUAGGCGGCUAGAUGUGUCAAAGGUGAAAUCCCUCGGCUCAACUGAGGAACUGCCUUUGAAACUGUCUGGCUUGAGGCCGGGAGAGGGUAGCGGAAUUCCCAGUGUAGCGGUGAAAUGCGUAGAUAUCGGGAGGAACACCAGUAGCGAAGGCGGCUCGCUGGGCCACACCUGACGCUGAGACGCGAAAGCUAGGGGAGCGAACAGG